rnacentral:tRNA from 1 species
UGACCCUUAGCUCAGUUGGUUAGUAGCGAAUGACUCAUAAUCAUUAGGUCGCUGGUUCGAUCCCAGCAGGGUCAA